CCUACGGGGGGCAGCAGUGAGGAAUAUUGGUCAAUGGACGAGAGUCUGAACCAGCCAAGUAGCGUGAAGGAUGACUGCCCUAUGGGUUGUACACUUCUUUUAUAUGGGAAUAAAAUGUUCCACGUGUGGGAUUUUGUAUGUACCAUAUGAAUAAGGAUCGGCUAACUCCGUGCCAGCAGCCGCGGUCAUAAGGCGGAUCCGAGCGUUUUCCGGAUUUGUUGGGUUUAAAGGGAGCGUAGGUGGAUUGUUAAGUAAGUUGUGAAAGUUUGCGGCUCAACCGUAAAAUUGCAGUUGAAACUGGCAGUCUUGAGUACAGUAGAGGUGGGCGGAAUUCGUGGUGUAGCGGUGAAAUGCUUAGAUAUCACGAAGAACUCCGAUUGCGAAGGCAGCUCACUGGACUGCAACUGACACUGAGGCUCGAAAGUGUGGGUAUCAAACAGGAUUAGAUACCCGGGUAGUC
rnacentral:rRNA from 1 species